AUACUUACCUGGUAGAGGAGACACCAUGAUCAUGAAGGUGGCUUUCCUAGGGUGAAACUUAUCCAUUGCACUCCGAGUGUGCUGAGUCCUAAGAUUCUCUCAAGUGUAGGAAACUCGACUGCAUAAUUUGUGGUAGUGGGGAACUGCAUUCACACUCUCCCCAA
rnacentral:snRNA from 1 species